CCUACGGGCGGCUGCAGUGGGGAAUAUUGCACAAUGGGGGAAACCCUGAUGCAGCGACGCCGCGUGAGUGAAGAAGUAUUUCGGUAUGUCAAGCUCUAUCUGCAGGGAAGAAAAUGACGGUACCUGAUUAAGUAGCCCCGGCUAACUACGUGCCAGCAGCCCCGGUUAUAAGUAGGGGGCAAGCGUUAUCCGGAUUUACUGGGUGUUAAGGGGGUGUAGACGGCUGCGCAAGUCUGAAGUGGAAAGCCGGAGCUUAACCCCGGAACAGCUGUGGAAACUGUGGAGCUAGAGUGCAGCAGAGGUAAGUGGAAUUCGUGGUGUAGCGGUGAAAUGCGUAGAUAUCAGGCGGAACCCCAGUGGCGAAGGCGGCUUACUGGACUGCCACUGACGUUGAGGCUCGAAAGCGUGGGGAGCGAACAGGAUUAGAUACCCCUGUAGUC
rnacentral:rRNA from 1 species